rnacentral:rRNA from 1 species
AGGCCUAACACAUGCAAGUCGAACGGAAACGAUGGGAGCUUGCUCCCAGGCGUCGAGUGGCGGACGGGUGAGUAAUACUUAGGAAUCUACCCAGUAGCGGGGGACAACUCGGGGAAACUCGAGCUAAUACCGCAUACGCUCUACGGAGGAAAGCAGGGGAUCCUCGGACCUUGCACUAUUGGAUGAGCCUAAGUCGGAUUAGCUUGUUGGUGAGGUAAAGGCUCACCAAGGCGACGAUCCGUAGCUGGUCUGAGAGGACGAUCAGCCACACUGGGACUGAGACACGGCCCAGACUCCUACGGGAGGCAGCAGUGGGGAAUAUUGGACAAUGGGGGCAACCCUGAUCCAGCAAUGCCGCGUGUGUGAAGAAGGCCUGCGGGUUGUAAAGCACUUUCAGUAGAGAAGAAAAGCCUAGGGUUAAUACCCCUGAGUCUUGACGUUACCUACAGAAGAAGCUCCGGCUAACUCCGUGCCAGCAGCCGCGGUAAUACGGAGGGAGCGAGCGUUAAUCGGAAUUACUGGGCGUAAAGCGCACGUAGGCGGCUUUGUAAGUCGGAUGUGAAAGCCCCGGGCUUAACCUGGGAAUGGCAUUCGAUACUGCAGAGCUAGAGUAUGGUAGAGGGAAGUGGAAUUUCCGGUGUAGCGGUGAAAUGCGUAGAUAUCGGAAGGAACACCGAUGGCGAAGGCAACUUCCUGGGCC